rnacentral:rRNA from 1 species
GACGAACGCUGGCGGCGUGCUUAACACAUGCAAGUCGAACGGAGUGGCGAACGGGUGAGUAAAACGUGGGUGACCUGCCCUGCAAUUCGGGAUAAGCCUGGGAAACUGGGUCUAAUACCGGAUAGUGUGGGAUGGGCCCGCGGCCUAGCAGCUUGUUGGUUGGGUAAUGGCCUACCAAGGCGGCGACGGGUAGCCCGCCUGAGAGGGUGGACGGCCACAUGGGGACUGAGACACGGACCAGACGCCUACGGGACGCAGUAGGGGGGAAGAUUGCACAAUGGGCGGAAGCCUGAUGCAGAGGCGCCGCGUUGGGGAUGACGGCCUUCGGGUUGUAAACUCCUUUCACCAUCGACGCGGUAGAUGGAGAAGAAGCACCGGCUAACUACGUGCCAGCAGCCGCGGUAAUAC